UCCUAAUUUCAUUAUCCCGCUGUAACCUCUCACAAUACCUACUCUCACAAAAUUUUCUCUUUAAUUUCAUUCACUUUCCCCUCCGCUCUUGCAAUUCCUCUCUAGUGCGACUCAUCUUCUUCAAAUCGGUUGAAUUUCGGUGUUCCUGCAUAUGUUUUCACCUUCGUUGCGGUUACUCCUAUUUCAAUUUGCUAGGUUGAUCUGGUAAUUUCCUCCUCCAAUCAUCCUAGAGAGCCUCCCAGAAGAUCAGAAUCAGCAACCACCUAUCAAUCUUCAUGACUAACAGAAAUGCAAGUUCAACAAGAGAAGAUGACAUGAGCGAUUUAAAACAUCUGUCUGUUUUUGAGAUGCCCGGAAAUAGAGUUGAUACUGAUCAAAUGAGUAUGCUAAUAGGGAAUACAUGUUCUAAAGUGCGUACUGCGUUGCAAGAAACUCAAAUUGUAGAACCAUAACCAUAAUAGAACAAAGCAGACCGCUACCCAACAAUAGUGUUUCGAGGAUCGACAUGCCUUUGAACUUCAGUGUGUCCUUGAAUUUUUCCACAUUUCCACAUCCGAAUGAGUUAUCAGCUCCAACAUCUCCCUGUGAGCCUCCUGGUCCUCCCCAUAUAUAUUUCUUUUCCCUAUUAGAUAAUUUUUUAUAGUAGAUGGCAUGACCUUGAUUCAAAUGUACAUACAUGUCUUUUUCUGAAAUGCAUGUUGACUGUACCUCUUACAGCUUGCUUUCCCAAAUGUCAGCAUCCCCUUUCAACUUCUGUAAUUCAUUCCCUAAGCUAGUUUUAACUACCUGGGCAACAUUGUUCUCAUCAGUUAGACCAGAACUUCUGGUUUGCACUAACUGAAGUACCCAGCAAGCUAUCUUAACUUUUCUUCUUCUCUUCAAAAAUUGAAUCUGCAGGUUUAUUGUGUACUUAUUAGUUCAAUUUUGUUAGUGUAUUUAUCUAUUGUUAUGACUUGUCAUAAACUGUUGGGUUUUUUUUUUAUUGUCCAAGAAAUUUUAUAUUGUCGGCAUGGAGAAAGGUCUUUGCAGUGGUUGCGAGGUGUGGUAGGGAUGCUGGUGUAACAGGGUUGUCUUGCUAGCAGGUGCAUACACGCGAGUGAUGGUUGCAUUCUUGUAAUUUGCUAGAAUUGUGGUUAUUGCAUCAGGUUGGGCAAAAGAGUGAAUACUUGUGCAUUCAUUUGUUCUAUACUUCUAUGUGUGAUACUCUGUAAUAUGACUAUCACUUCAGGUCUGUGAGUUGUCUUCUAUCAGUUUGAUUAGUGUUGCUUCUGUCAGGUUGAUUAUUACCGCCGACCAAAUAUUUCCAGAAACACGAUAUUUGUGUCUGCAUCAUUUGUAUGGUGUUUCCCAACUGACCAUCUGUAGUAAGCAUAUCCCUACAAAACACAUCUUCUCUCUUGUGGGCAAGUAGACUUGGUACUCAGUGUGCCUACACAGUGUGUCCCUAGUGUGUCCCUUGUAGGCAGUUAAUAUUUUAUGCUCAUAGUAUUGUUUGUUGUUAUCUUGUAUUGCCAAGCAUGGGCUCAUUUAAGAUAAUAAAAGACUAUGUGAACUAAUAUUCCA